rnacentral:rRNA from 1 species
AUUGAACGCUGGCGGCAUGCCUAACACAUGCAAGUCGAGCGAGCGGCGGACGGGUGAGUAAUGUAUGGGGACUGCCCGAUAGAGGGGGAUAACUACUGGAAACGGUAGCUAAUACCGCAUACUAUCGGAUAACCCAUAUGGGAUUAGCUAGUAGGUGAGGUAAUGGCGCACCUAGGCGACGAUCCCUAGCUGGUCUGAGAGGAUGAUCAGCCCAACUGGGACUGGGACACGGCCCCGACUCCUACGGAGGCAGGCGUGGGGAAUAUUGCCCAAUGGGGGCAAGCCUGAUGAGGCCAUGCCGGGUGUAUGAAGAAGGCCCUAGGGUUGUAAAGUACUUUCAGUCGGGAGGCGUUACCGACAGAAGAAGCACCGGCUAACUCCGUGCCAGCAGCCGCGGUAAUUC